CUCUGAGACUGUCUGGAGUCUGUCUGAAACUGAUAAAAUUGGAGAGGGAGUUAAGGCUCUAGCUAUGUAAAUUGAUAAGAACUCAUGAAUUCGAAAUGGGAAUUUACAGUCACUCAACAAUGCUAGCGAUUGAAUUACGACGCAAUGCAAAUCAAUAUUUAGGCUCAUGCUUUGAAAGUUUUUUCAAUGUUUAUCACCAGACAGACAAUUCAUUAUGCACAGGUAUGAUCUUCGGUUCUGAAAAGAAGCCUAUCAGCUGAAGUUUAAGCGUAACGUGGCAUUUCAAUGGAACAAUUAUUUGAAAGGGGGCCCUUAUGACACCUUGAACCCCGUCGAUAACCCCCCCCAUGUCUGUAGUGAUGACACUUUUCCAGGGAUGAUGGAUUUUCUGAGACGUCACAAGAAGUUACUGCCAUGGAUCGAGAACCUCAACUACAAAAGGUGACGAUGCACAGGGAAAGAUUUGUGAAUGGAAGCUAGAUCAUAGAUCACAUGGGCUGUGAGACCGUUGCAGUGGUGUAAAGUACUUAAGUAAAACUACUUUAAAGUACUUAAAGUAAAGUACUACCUAAAAGUACUACUUUACUAUUUAUAUUUUUGCCAACUUUUACUUUUACUUCACUACAUUCCUAAAGAAAAUAAUGUACUUUUUAUCCAAACAUUUUCCCUGACACCCAAAAGUACUCGUAACAUUUUGACAGGAAAAUGGUCAAAUUUACACACUUAUCAAGAGAACAUCCCUGGUCAUCCCUACUGCCUCUUAUCUGGUGGAUUCACUAAACACAAAUGCUUCAUUUGUACGUUUUGUCAGAGUGUUGGAGUGUGCCCCUGGCUAUCCAUCCCCCCAAAAUAACCGUGCUGUCUGUCUGGUUUGCUUAAUAUAAGGAAUUUGAAAUGGUUUAUACUUUUACUUUUGAUACUUAAGUAUAUUUAAAACCAAAUACUUUUAGACUUUUACUCAAGUGGGAUUUUACUUGGCGACUCACUUUUACUUGAGUCAUUUUCUAUUAAGGUAUCUUUACUUUUACUGAAGUAUGAUAUUUGAAUACUUUUUCCACCACUGGACGGUUGCAGAUGUGGAUUAUUCGCCACCCUCCCUCUCCCUCUCCUACCCCGGUCACCGUUCCUCCCUAUGAAUGGGGUCGCUAAGAUAUCAGCUCUGUCACCGGGGUCGGCCCAAAGCCGCCAACUUCCGGUGCCCUUUAAAACCGGAAAGCACGCCUCGCUAUUUGAAUAAUCUGUAUAAUUUCUGUGGUUUGUUUCGGUGAGAGCUGUUUUUUCUUCUUCAUCCUAGGUCACUCAAGAACAGAACAGUAAUAUCACAGUCAAAUCCACACGCCAUCAAUCCUUCCCUAAAACAUCCCCGUCUUUGUUUUAGCAUAUUCUUAGUAGCCUAACUGAGUUUUUCCAGAUUUCUAUGAAAUAUGACCUAUAAUUAAUUACAACAUGAGUGAAAUAGUUUUCCUUCCAUUUAAAAAAAAAAAUUAAGUAUGCAGGUUUCAUGUGUUUGAAUGGUGUGGGCAUACCCUACCACAACAACAGAAUGAUUUGGGCAUAUAAGGCUACCCUGUCAUGAAAAAUAUUUAAUGCGAGCAGAUUGCUGAUUGAGCAGCUCAGCCAAUGAGCAACAUGAGCCGUCAUGUUCUAUGAGGAAGCAUUUUUUAAACGUCUGUUUGAGAUAUUACAGGUUAGCGUUUUUCGUGGUGGAUCUUGUUCUGGAGGCAGCUCUGCAGUGUGGUUACUAGCAGGCCCAACCACAAAGUAAUACGAUCACAUUUUAAACCUAAAGUACACUGCUAACCCUAAUGCCUAACCAUAACCUGAAAUUAUGACCAAAAAGUGAAAUUCUGUUUCUUGCAUUUUUACAAUAUUGCCAAUGUUGACUUUGCUGCUUGCCCAUCUAGCGGGAAUCGCUCAGUUCUGCCUCAAGGACAAGACUCAUCCCAAUAAACGUCAACCUGCGCUUGAGAUACAUGUUUAUCUGUGGUGAUGUUUUUAAAGUGUGUUUUUUUCUUCUUCAAUUUAUGGUUUGGUCACAAAAACUAGUAUAGGACGAGUCAACAACAUUAUUUGGAUAUGAGUUCACAAAAUUGUAACUUUUAAAAGUGAGAUUUUCAUGGGACAGUUUACUUUAACUCAAAGUUAUUCAAAGGUGGAGUGUAGCCUGUGUGACGGGACCAGAGGUUAUAGCAUAUAUUAAAGCUCCAAAAUCCAGCUUCGAUUCUAUACCCUAUUGUGUAGCCUAAAUUGUUAGAAGGGUGUCCCGUCCCCGUCCAUUGUUUUAGGAUAAAUGUUUCCUCAAGCACACGGACCGCGUCACCGUCGGGGUCGUGUCAACCGAAUGGAGAUCAUUUAUAGGUUCAAUAACUCUUAAUCCGUCUGAUCGCCCUGGUGUAGAUAAGCCUCAUUUGAAUUGGGAUUGUUCUGGAAUCUUUUCGGAUUUCAGCAUAGUGGUCCUAAUUGAGUUUACCGCAGCCUUGACUGCUGCAUACCCCGAACACAAUUAAGGUCUUGCUCAGAUAAAAGCUAACUGAAUGCCAGUCCCGUCUAGAAAGAAUGCACUUUUUCAACAGUAUAUUCGUUAGACGUUUAUCUCUUUGGGGAAGAUGAUGUGUAAUGAAGCGUUAUAAUGGCGUAUAGCCUAUACAUCAAACUAUAAACCGCAAUGCUAUAUUGACUGAUGCGAUCAACGCAAGUUUUAUUUCAUUUUUAAAUUCUUCUUUACAUAUUUUAAAGAUGUUUUUUGAGUUUAAGAUGCAAACAAUUUUGGGGGUAAGCAAUUUCUAGCUUUGGUAAAAUCAGUGUCCUCUAUUUAAAGUUUAGAGCCACAAGAAACACAAUAAGUAUGGUGGUAAUAUGGCCCAUAUUUGAAACUUAAUUCCUUCCUUAGCUGAAGUAGGCCCAAGGCUAUCCUAAAAAGUGCCAUGGAUGUAGGUCUAAAAGCAAUGCUGUGCUAGGCCUAUAUGUUAAGGGGGACAUGUUGCUAACAGCUUUGCUUCCUUCACUGUCCGACUGCCACAUACUGGUUUCGAACCAGUGAUCCUCUGCUUCGCAUCGCAUUGACAACGUUCCAACGGGUUGAGCCGCCCAGAAGGUACCAAUUAGACGGUUCCAUCCGCAAUAUUUGUGGAGUGAGCUUAAAGUACAUUCUUAACUCUGUUACACAUGCCCCUCUUCCAUAAGAUGAAUGUAAAACUGCGAUCACACGCAUUUUUCUUUAAUUGGUGGUGAAUGUUUUUCGCUGUCAAUCAAUACUCAACGCAAAGACAACAUGCUUGUAAUAUAUAUAUAUAUAUUUUGCAAAAGCAUCAGGCUAUGAUUUCAGGUCUAAUUUGAUAUUUUUCUAAUGUGGUCAGAAAUCCUGUUAAAGUGUGUUCCAAAAGAAUACAGAAGGCUGUGCUGUCAUUGUCAUAUGCGUUUAUAUUUAUGACAAUUGAACCAAUAACUUAUAAUAAUUAUUUCUAAAAUAAAUUGAGCUUAUUUCAGUAUGAACAGUGUUGUAUUCAAUCGAGGUAUAUCAUACCACAAAUAUGCCUAUGUGUACAAAUAUAGGAUUACAUUGACUAAUUUAAGUUUUAAUGUCAGGGUCAAAUGCAGAUAACACUUUACAUCUUUAGUCUAUUGUGUUUUUCGAGUAUAUAUAAAACUUAUAUAACACUUAAUAGUUUGAGUUCCACUCAUAGCCUUUAAGGAAACUUUGUAUGGGCCAUAAAUGUCUGGUGGUAAAAAGUAGUCAACCAGUCUACAGUGUAGCCUAAUGGAAAGGUUUAGGAUUCGCUUGAGUGCUAUGUAAGUUUACUUUUAGUAACAUUUGACUAAAUUGCUAUAAUUUUUCCAAUAUUUUUUAAAUUCAAGAUUUAUUGGAUUUCAUAUUGUAGGCCGAUUUCACCAUCACUCUUGGAGCCUUGCCAUGUUGACGUUUGCAUUCUCCAAUGGUAACAUAUAGUCUUCCUCGCCAUGUUGCUGAACACCAAAGCUCGCCUACGCUCCUACACACAUCUACGUUUAUACAGCCGGACAGCCAGACGUUUCACGUGUCACGACGUCUUACUUGUGACAGUAAAGAAUAAACGACACGUGGUGGCUUUAGACUCUGUCAUAUAGAACAAAUAUCAUGCAAGGGGACGGGACACUUUAUGAACUUGGUUAAUGGCAAUUGGCACUGAACAUUUGCUCACUAAUAAAACCACGUCGAGCGGAACAAUAUACCCGUGUAAAUGUAAACAUGCUGAAAGAUCGACUGCACACAAGUCCAAUAUCAAUAAAGUAGAGGUAUUUUAGGUUACCUGUUUCAACUUCUAUAACUUCUAUGGCGGGCUACCGCCCACGCAUAUGGCCCUAGAAUCCUUGCCUGUUAUACUGCAGUAACCCAGAUGCCUUGCGCGUUUUAGAUGAUCGAAAUGCCUCGUACACCUGUCCAAGGGGGUCUGCAAUUGAUUACAAGGGACCACGACAAGUGGACAGCUGGGGAAGCACUUGUUACUCAAAAGCCACUUCCACAAGACUAUUGACUCAAUGUAUUGGUAACUGCAACUGCUUAAAGUUGGUAAAAUGGUGUAAAAAGUUGUAAUUUUGUAAAGUAAUUAGGCCUAAAGUAUGCAUAAAGGAUUUGCGUAAACCAUUUAUCAUAGGUUAUCGAUAAUGGUUAUGCUAAAAGUUAUUGGCAACUAUCGAAUAUGUAUGUACACCGAGAGUUCGGCUAUAGGCUGUUUUGCACCCGACUUGGCCAUUCGACGUCAUAGGUAUUAAAACGUUGCCAUAGUAACUCCAACACAUCAACAAUAAAACACUGAUGUUUUUUAAUAUUUCCACUAGAGAUAUAUUUUUGCUCCAAGCUCAGGUAUAGCCUUAUACAUUUAUAUAGGCCUAAACUCAAAUGAAUUAAUUAGCCUAAAGCAAGUGUAAACGUUAAUGUAACAGCACUGUGGAAUCAGAAAAUGAAAAUAGUACAAAGGGACAAUUUUGUCCUAACCUUAUUAGUGCGUCCUCGUCUGUUUUGGACAAGCACUCUCUCAUCGAAUGUCUCAUCCAGUCACAAAUGUGAGUGGCCAGUUGCGAUAUGCUUUUAAGUCCAGCUUACUUGAACUUAGGAAAGAGGUCAGUCGUUAUGAGAGGCUAUUCGAACCCCCUUCUUGUGUGGCAUCAUGCCCCUGCACUGUCCCCAGUUUUAACUGACCGAAAUAGUGCUGCAGGAUCUCAUGAAAGCACAUUGCUCGAUGACGCACCUUUCACCCCUCUCUCCACCCGAAUUGUUUUUACCCCCAACGGUGAAAUGUGGUGAUGGUGACUUUUACAUCGACAGGUGUUUCUUCGUAAAUGACCUCAGUUCACAACGAUGUUUCAUUACACUGGUGUCAGAGGUGAGAUUAUUAUUAUUGUCUGAUUUAUAACUCUUGAGUGACUUUAAAGAUGAUUUUCGUGAUAAUAAUAUAUGCCUAAUCCGUCUGAUUUUGCAGGUGAUAAACUCGGUAGCAUAUACUAAUCUUGAAUUUGACAUGUGUUGCAUAUGUUAAUACCAUAUGUCACACUUUAAACGAACUAUAACUCAAAAAGCUUUACAGGGCUUAACUUUACAGGGCGUAACUUCUUAAGAGCACAACAUACAUACAAAUAAUACACGUUGACCUAAAUUGUUUCUAAGAAAUUCAUGAAAAGGUAGAGAUGGGAUUGGAAGUUAGUUGCCAAAAAUAAACCAUUGUGAAGGUUUUGUUACUAACACAAUCGGUGCUGAAGUAAUUCUGAAACUUGUAGAAACGUUUUAGUGGUGUUUUUCACUCGAGUGAGAUUUCUAAUCCAUUACACAUGGCCAAUAAAUUAUUACCUAACUUUCUGUACUGGUGCAUGCUUUCCGAGCGUGUGUUCGUUAAAUCACUGACCAAUAAAGUAUCACUCAA